rnacentral:rRNA from 1 species
UUCCGGUUGAUCCUGCCGGACCUGACUGCUAUCGGAUUGAUACUAAGCCAUGCGAGUCAUUGUAGUAAUACAAGGCAGACGGCUCAGUAACGCGUAGUCAACCUAACCUAUGGACGGAAAUAACCUCGGGAAACUGAGCAUAAUACCCGAUAGAACAUUAUGCCUGGAAUGGUUUAUGUUCCAAAUGAUUUAUCGCCGUAGAUGGGACUGCGGCCUAUCAGUUUGUUGGUGAGGUAAUGGCCCACCAAGACUAUUACAGGUACGGGCUCUGAGAGGAGUAGCCCGGAGAUGGGUACUGAGACACGGACCCAGGCCCUAUGGGGCGCAGCAGGCGAGAAAACUUUGCAAUGUGCGAAAGCACGACAAGGUUAAUCCGAGUGGUUCCUGCUAAAGGGACCUUUUGACAGUCCUAAAAACACUGAUGAAUAAGGGGUGGGCAAGUUCUGGUGUCAGCCGCCGCGGUAAAACCAGCACCUCAAGUGGUCAGGAUGAUUAUUGGGCCUAAAGCAUCCGUAGCCGGCUCUGUAAGUUUUCGGUUAAAUCUGUACGCUCAACGUACAGGCUGCCGGGAAUACUGCAGAGCUAGGGAGUGGGAGAGGUAGACGGUACUCGGUAGGAAGGGGUAAAAUCCUUUGAUCUAUUGGUGACCACCUGUGGCGAAGGCGGUCUACCAGAAC